CAGGCAGAAGAGGCAGUCGCGGGGAUUCAUUCCACGAGGAAAGUCCGGACUCCACAGAGCAGCGUGCCGGGUAACGCCCGGUGAGAGUAAUCUUAAAGACAGUGUCACAGAAAAGCAAACCGCCGAAUUUUUUCGGUAAGGGUGAAAAGGCAGGGUAAGAGCCUACCGACGGACGGGUAACCGUUCGGGCUGACAAACCUCACGCGGAGCAAAACUAAAUAGGAAAGGGUUGAGGUUGCUCGCUGACCUUUCGGGUAAGUUGCUUAGACUUG
rnacentral:RNase_P_RNA from 1 species